UGCAUUUGAACCAUAGCCUGAAGCACCAUAUCCAGAAGGAGUUUGGUUGUUCCAUUGGCUUUUCAUAGCACCAGGUGGGCCACUUACAUAACCAGCAUUAGGAGCAUUCGGGUUUCCAUACGCCCCAGCAGGACCGCCAAAUCCAGUAUUGGCACUUCCAUAACCACCAACACCAUAACUCCCAUAACCACCAUAACCAACAGCACUAUUUGCUGCUCCAUAGCCAUAACCUGGUGCACCAUAGCCAGAAUAUGGUGGGAAACCACCACCAGUGGUCUGAGGUGGCAUGAAUCUAUUACCAUCCAUUCUACCUUCAUAUGCACUUGUAUUAGCACCAGAAGCACCAUAGCCUUGGUAGCCUCCACUACGGCCACCACCACCAGGAUUUGCAUCUUUAGGGAGGGCUCGUUUCACCUCUACAAGCUUACCAUUCAAAUCAUGGAAGGUCUUAUGUAAAACUCGAUCAACUGCAUCUUCAGUGUCAAAGGAUAUGAAUCCAAACCCACGGGGACGUUGAGUAUUUUGGUCAU
rnacentral:lncRNA from 1 species